AUAAGCAAAUUAAUAAAUGGAAUACAGGGAGUGGUGGUGUCUCUUCACAACAAUAAAAAUCCUAACUAAGACACAUGCUUAGCAUGCCUGAGGCUCUGGGAAUAUUCCUAGCACCUUCCAUACAGUGAAAAUAAAUCAAAACAAAAGCAGGAAAAGAUAUGGCUGAUAAGAGAACUUUUAAAAAAUUCAUUUUUUUCUUUUAAUCAUUUCAGAAAGUUUUUGUUUUGUUUUACUUUUAAGAUGGUCCCAAAAGGCAGUCUAGGCUACCAUUCGAGUCAUGAUCUUCCUGUCUCUGCCUCUGAAUUGCUGGGAUUACAGAUGAGCACCACAUUUCCUGGCUCUUAAACAUCCACAUUGACAGAACCAGUACACUACUGACCACUCUGAGAAAAUGCUUGUGGGAUGGUCACUCUUUGAGAAACAGUACGACAAGACAGGAGUGGAGCAAAACACAUAGGCACGUGGACACAGCACCAAGAACUGAGAACCAACAGCUCAAGAGAAGAGGAGUGCAAAAGGAGAGCAUGGGUAUUGAGAAAGAAUAGCCGAAUGCUUCUUUCAUUCAAGGCUAAGUAGAGCAAAUAACAGAAAUGCUACAAGCUUUUAU
rnacentral:lncRNA from 1 species